rnacentral:misc_RNA from 1 species
CUUUGAUGAGUAGUGCUUAAUUAUUAUCUUCGAGUUUGCGCUCUAACAAUGAAAAUGUGGACGCAGGUGUUCUUAUAAAACGGUAGAACAAAUGUAAAAUAAAUCACUAUCUAACGUUUUGAAUGAAGUUAAUUCUCUGUGUAAUGAUAUAAUUAUAUGUCUGGUCAAAGGUACAGAGCACUUUUUUUUGUGGGCUAGUGUUUUGUAUUAACUUGUUUUAAAAUCGAACUUUGUCCAAUCGGAGUACUAUUUGUAGCCAUUACCUACAAUAAUAAGACCUUAUUAAUUGUAAUAAUUGAUUUUAAGUCUAUAAUUUCAUCUUUAAUUUCAAUAUGAUUUAAAUGCCACUAUCACGUUUGUAGCACUUUUGUACACAGAAAAUAAUAAAAAAUACAAUAAUUUAAUGGUCCAGAUGGAACAGUUAUGCUGUCCGCAUCAACCAUGGUUUCUGCAAGCAGUAUUAAACAUUGAUAUCCUAAACGGGGUGACGCCAAAUCUUGUUUCCUAGUGCGUGAUUAUUGCCACGUAUGCAUAGUCAGUGUUUACAGUGGUCUGUAGAGCUUGAAUAUUCAAUGAGGCGCGGGUAAUUUGCAACAAAAACAUACAUUCAAAUCACAUACCGAUAACGGUUUGCCAUAAUAUGCUAACAAACGUCAAAAAUUACUAUCAUCAUUUUAUUAAACUAGAAUUACGAAACGUAACAUUUCGAAAGUCCUACAAAAUACCUAUUAAAAGAAAAAGAAAAAAUAUACAAAUUUAAAAUGUGGAAAACUAUAUUUAUAGUUUUAAUAUAGUUAUUAUAUUUAACAAGAUUUUACUUUAAGAUUCUGUUGUAAGAGUCCAUAAUAAAGAGAUUAAAAUUUUUAUAUUGUAAUUAAAACUUUCUCUUUUAACUACAUUGUUCAUACAUUUUUACCCACAUAAAAGUGUAUUGAUAUGUCUGUAGUACCUGAUAACACAACAAAUGACUGUUACCAUUCGAUACUAAAAAUAAUUGUGUUUGCUCGCAAACGAAAAAAAAACCGACUUCAAUUACAUCGACAAGUAAUAUAACGUAGAUCGACGAAUCGAAACUCGACGAAAUAGUCAAGCAACCACGCGUUAUCAAAGAUUACUCAAAAAGUAGUUAUCAGAUCUCGAUAAAAUUUAUAUGUGACCACAUGAUAAACAUCAGCUUUCGAU